rnacentral:rRNA from 1 species
UACAGAGGUCCCAAGCGUUGUUCGGAUUCAUUGGGCUUAAAGGGUGCGUAGGCGGCGCGGUAAGUCGGGUGUGAAAUCUCGGGGCUUAACUCCGAAACUGCAUUCGAUACUGCCGUGCUUGAGGACUGGAGAGGAGACUGGAAUUUACGGUGUAGCGGUGAAAUGCGUAGAUAUCGUAAGGAAGACCAGUGGCGAAGGCGGGUCUCUGGACAGUUCCUGACGCUGAGGCACGAAGGCCAGGGGAGCAAACGGG